rnacentral:rRNA from 1 species
AAUGGGCGCAAGCCUGAUCCAGCCAUGCCGCGUGAAUGAUGAAGGCCUUAGGGUUGUAAAAUUCUUUCAACGGUGAAGAUAAUGACGGUAACCGUAGAAGAAGCCCCGGCUAACUUCGUGCCAGCAGCCGCGGUAAUACGAAGGGGGCUAGCGUUGUUCGGAAUUACUGGGCGUAAAGCGCACGUAGGCGGACUGAUUAGUUGGUGGUGAAAUCCCAGAGCUCAACUCUGGAACUGCCAUCAAUACUGUCAGUCUGGAGCAUAGUAGAGGUUAGUGGAAUUCCAAGUGUAGAGGUGAAAUUCGUAGAUAUUUGGAGGAACACCAGUGGCGAAGGCGACUGACUGGGCUAUUGCUGACGCUGAGGUGCGAAAGCGUGGGGAGCAAA